rnacentral:tRNA from 1 species
CGCUAAGAAGCUAAACAGUCCCAGCGUCAGCCUUUUAAUCUGAAAAUUGGUGCCUAACACUCACCCUUAGCGA